UUAACUUUAAGGAAGGCUUCCAGAUCAUGAGAAUAUAUAUAGUAAAGUAAAGGACUUAAAACUGAGCCCUGAGGUAAACCUUUCCAGGCAAUAUGGGAGUGAAUUGAAAGGUUGACAUUAUCAUAGGCUGCAGACACAUCUAAGAAUGCUGCUAACACAGACUUAUUGUAAGAAAAUGCCAAUCUUAAGUCUGUCAUAAAAAUGCUGAGACUAUCCAUUGUUCUCAUGCCUUUCCUAAAUCCAAACUGGUUUGGAGAUAGUAACCCCUUACUCUCAAUAAACCAUUCUAGUCUAUUUUUCACUUAAUAAUCAGAAAUUUUGGAAAUAACUGAAGCUAAUGGAAUUGGUCUGUAUGAUGAUGGAUCAUUUAUCGGUUUGUUGGGCUUGUGUAUUGGGAUAACUUCAUGGAUUUUCCGUGAAGGAGGAAUUUUACCUGAUGUUAAGAUUGAAUUAAAUAAACUGAGACAAUAAGAAAGGCAGCACCAUCCAUCACAACCUGGGGCUGAGUCCCUAAGUUUUGAAAGAACCCCUUUGAGUUCUGAAAGGCUAAAGGAAAUGAAUGAAUCGCUACUAUCAUGCUGGGGGAGGAGAUAAGGCUGUGAGUUAGAAGAAAUAUUAUCUAUAGAUGGGACAUAUGGUGGAGCUAAUUUGUCAAGAAACAAAUCAACUGUACUGCUAUCCAUAAGAGAAGACCUUGGAGGUUAAAAAGAGGAUCUGAAUUUACAAAUAUUUUGCCAAACUUCAGAUAGAGAAAUGUCUGGUGAAAUUGAGGCACAAAAAGAUUUCCAGCCAUUGAAUCUUUUUUGUUUUAAUAAUUUACAUGUUUUCGUUAUAAGAUUGCAAAGAAUAUUAAAAUAUUGUGAUGUAGAA